GGAAAGGCCAUGUGCUGGCGUUCCAGUCGACAGUUCCAGCAUUCAAGCCAGGUUCAGUGGGAAAAUGACAACAUCUACUUACAGAACUAUUGACAUCAACAGCCAUUUCUGCCAGAAGUAUGAGCCUUUGUAAAGUGGUUAGUUUGGUGGAGAGGACCCAUUAUCAGGAUGAAGAUAAGAAGAAGUAAAUGAGACAUGAAUUAGUAGAAAGAUUGACAAGUGUAGCCAAGUCAGACUUUGAUUUCAACUGGAAGCAGGAGAUCAGCCUGAUUACCCAGGCGAACAUCGUGCAGAGCAAUACAGUGGCUGGGAGUGGGACUCCCAUUUAACAGAUAGGGAACUAGAGGCAUUAACAAGAGAAGGAAACUGGUGCACUGCCCAUGGGCAUUAACCAAAACCACUCUUACAGAAAGCUCAGCCUUUGUCCUCUUCCAAUUCAUAUGUCACACAUAGAUGUCCGCCCCCCCCCAAGAAGUCUGAAUCUGAGAAUAAGAUGUGCCUAGUAGAGUAUGAGCAACUCUAGUAGUGCCAAAUGAAUACUGCUGGCUGGCUGGCUGAGUAGAUGGAUGGAAGCAUGGGCGGAUGGCCAGAUGGCCAAAUACUGAGCUACCAGGAGGGCUCAAGGAAUAGUAGGUUAAGGGAGAGGAACUUCACUCCUAAGAUUGCAACUAUGAUCAAGAAUCCCAUGUUCAGGGCUUCCCUGGUGGCGCAGUGGUUCAGAGUCUGCCUGCCAAUGCAGGGGAUGCGGGUUCGGGCCCUGGUCUGGGAGGAUCCCACAUGCCGCGGAGCAACUGGGCCCGUGAGCCACGACUACUGAGCCUGCACAUCGGGAGCCUGUAAGAAAAAAGAAUCCCAUGUUCUCAGGCUUCACUGGUGGUGCAGUGGUUAAGAAUCCGCCUGCCAGUGCAUGGGACACGGGUUCGAUCCCUGGUCUGGGAAGAUCCCACAUGACGUGGAGCAACUAAGCCCGUGAGCCACAACUACUGAGCCUGCGCUCUAGACGCUCUAGAGCCCGCGAGCCACAACUACUGAGCCCGUGCACCACAACUACUGAAGCCCGUGCGCCUAGAGCCUGUGCUCCACAACAAGAGAAGCCACCACAAUGAGAAGCCCGCUCACCGCAAUGAAGAGUAGCCCCCGCUCACUGCAACUAGAGAAAGCCCUCGCACAGCAACGAAGACCCCAGCGCAGCCAAUAAAUAAAUAAAUAAAUAAAUAAGUUUAUAAGAAUCCCAUGUUCUCAAAGGUGGCAGCAAAGCUGGGAGCCUGCAGAGCUGGAAAGACCCAGAGACCAGAGAGAAAAGCCAGAACAGCAAUUUACCAAGCCCAAGUACAUAGUUGAUUUGUCUUUCUUCUGCAUAUUUAUGAAGCUGUUG